rnacentral:lncRNA from 1 species
AAUCUUCUCUAAUGUUAUUGGCUUAUCUUCUUGAAGACUUGUUGUGUUGCUUGGGGUUAUCAAUGGUGGGAGAGCAUUUUCAUGUCUAGAUCUAGUCCUCCUUGUGAAGCCUAACAAAUGAUCAUUUUCCUUAAAGACACCCCCCACCCCCACCCCCACCCCCACCCCCCAUGAUCUGAAAAUGGAACUCUCUUGUCUUGAUAGCUUUCAAGCAUAUUGAUGUUGUGAACCUGUUUCAUCUCUAUCUGAUUAUCAAGUUUCUUGGUUUUACUA